CCGGCGCACGGGUGAGUAACACGUAUGCAACCUGGCCGUCACAGGUGGAUAACCGGAAGAAAUUCCGACUAAUACAGCAUAACACUCCUGAGGGACAUCCUUCGGGAGUCAAAGGAGGCAACUCCGGUGACGGAUGGGCAUGCGGCGCAUUAGGUAGUUGGUAGGGUAACGGCCUACCAAGCCGACGAUGCGUAGGGGUUCUGAGAGGAAGGUCCCCCACAUUGGAACUGAGACACGGUCCAAACUCCUACGGGAGGCAGCAG
rnacentral:rRNA from 1 species